AAAAUCAUUAUAAAACAAAAAAAAUUUUAAAUUCUCUUUCCAAGUUAGUUUCCUCAGAACAUGCCGAUUUAAAUCUUUAAAAAUGUGGAUUGAUGGAGUUCCCGUCGUGACGCAGUGGUUAACGAAUCCGACUAGGAACCAUGAGGUUGCAGGUUGGAUCCCUGGCCUUGCGCAGGGGGUUAAGGAUCCAGCGUUGCCGUGAGCUGUGGGGUAGGUCACAGAAGCGGCUCGGAUCCUGCGUUGCUGUGGCUUUGGCGUAGGCCGGAGGCUACAGCUCCGAUUCGACCCCUAGCCUGGGAACCUCCAUAUGCCACGGGAGCGGCCCAAGAAAUGGCAAAAAGACCAAAAAAAAAAAAAAAAAAAAAAGCUUGUUCUAAUGUGGCCUCUCUGCUCAGGACAGGACUCCCUGAGCUUCCAGAGAGCCAUUAGAGCAGAGUGGGUUUCACGUAGAUCGCACAGGUAGCGCCCCGGCCUUCCUCGGCUCCCCUGGCACGUGAUGAGGGGAACUCGAGCAGUCCUGUCCCGCGGCAGGUGCCGGGUGCCGGGGUGUGGGAGGAGCUGGUGGAGAGGUCCUGGGGGUGAGCAUGUGGACAGAGAAGUGCACUGGCUGGGGGGAGGCAUGACCCUGGGGGUCACUCUUUGCCUGACCUGUCCCCAGAGGGACGGCUACCUUUCAGACCAUGAGUCCUGCUUGGGGGUUUGGAGAGUAAGGCUCUGCCUCCUUGCAAAACAGACCCGAGUUCCAUGCAUUUUGAUGCUCAUUCUGUCAGGAUGCAUCUCCUUUUUGUGAGAAACUUAGGUGUAACACUUGGGUUGGAUUGUGUACAUGUUUAUAAAAACACUUGACUCAGAGGAUCACAGUCCUUGGGAAGAUACAGUUGUGCGAAGUCACCUGUUCAGGUCCCAGUUUCUGCUGCUUCUGCUGUUGGGUCAUAGGUCACACCACAGUGGCCAUGAUUUCAACCUGAACAAAGUUAAAUACUUUUUUUGUUGAUUUAUUUUAUUUGUAUUUUUAUUUAUUUAUUAUUAUUAUUAUUAUUUUUUUAGGGCCACACCCGUGGCAUAUGGAGGUUCCCAGGCUAGGGGUCUAAUCGGAGCUACAGCUGCCAGCCUACACCACAGCUCACAGGAACGCCGAAUCGUUAACCCACUGAGCAAGGGCAGGGAUCGAACCCACAACCUCAUGGUUCCUAGUUGGAUUCGUUAACCACUGCCCCACGAUGCGAACUCCUAUUUGUAUUUUUAAAUGAAAACGGUUAGAAAGUACCCAGAAAUGUAGGACUGGGUAUAAGUGAUAAUGAGUUAUUAUUAGUUUUGUUGGGUAUAUUACUUAUGUUUUGUCUGGUUCUAAUCUGAUAGACGUGUAGACUGAGACAUUAGGAGGUGAAAUAAUGUGACUUCUGAGAUUUGCUUUUUACUCAUGCUGGAAAAAAAAAAGUGGGGCAUAGCUGAAUGCUUUGGCUAUUCAUUAUUCUUUUUACUUUGGUGAAUUCUUGAAGUUUCCAUAUACAGAGUGGGGAAAAGAAAACUCCUCUAGACCAUGGACCCUGGGUGUCAGCUCACGUAACUAGCAAAUCAUCCCUUAGCUCUAGUGCCUGUGAGGAGCUGGGAGCUUGAAUUAGACCAGCCCUCAGGCAGCUGUACCUUCUCCAGGGGUACACGCGUGUGUGUAAAUGUUUGUAUGGCCGAGAUGAAAGUUUAAAAAAACAAUUCUCACUAUAAGCAAUGCACUCUGAUUUUUUUUUUUUUUAAUUCUGUUUUUAUUUUUAAACUGCUGGUGACAACCUAAAUUGCUUUUUUUCUUUUUUUUUAGCGCCGCACCCGCGGCAUGUAGAAGUUCCCAGGUUAGGGGUCAAAUCGGAGCUGCAUCUGCUGGUCUACACCACAGCCACAGCAACGUGAGAUCGGAGCUGCAUCUGUGACCUACACCCCAGCUCAUGGCAACACCAGGACUUUCACCCACUGAGCCAGGCCAGGGAUUGAACCCCCAACCUCAUGGAUGCCAGUCGGGUUCAUUACUACGGAGCCACGACGGGAACUCCCAAGAAAAUCUUCUGAUGACGGCCCCACGCCCCAGUGUUAAAUACGGCCGCGCCUGGGCAGCUCGUCUCAGAACACGUUUUCCUCACCCGCACCUGCUCCCUGGGGGUCAUGCGCUGAGCUGUGCCCCCCACUGCCCCACCGAGGUCGGUGGCGAAGCCCUGACCCCAGCGCCUCGGGAGGCGUCUGUGUUUGGGGAGAGGCCUCUAAAGAGGGGACGAAGGAUAAAUAAAAGAGGGCACUAGGGUGGGCCCUAGCCCACGUGACUGCUGUCCUUAAAGGAAGGGCAGUUUGGGCAAAGAGGCACCAGGGCUGCGCACUCGGGGCGAGGACAGUUGGGGAGCCGGGAGGAGAUGGCCGUCCCCAGGCUGAGGACAGCCCAGCCCCGCGACACCCUGGGCUCGGAACUCCAGCCUCGAGGACUCGGACAGAACAGACGAGUUGCCGUCGCUGCCUGCUCUGUGGUGCUUGCUUAGGCAAGAAAUAGAUGUAUUAAGAUGGGACGCUUGUGAGAGUUGCACUGGGCAGGCACGGAGGCUCUGUCCCGAGGAUGCGGUGGCCUCCAGUUUUCUCAUCCAAGGAAAGUGGGGAGGGGAAAGGGCCGCCUUUUUCCUUGUUCUUCCAGCGGCCGUCACGCUUGCAUCACUAGCUCCUCCUUCGGAAGUGGUGCUUGCUCUUUCUUUUUUCUGUUUUAGGGCCGCACCUGCGGCAUAUGGAAGUUCCCAGGCUAGGGGUUGAAUUGGAGCUGCAGCUGAGUGAGGCCUACACCACAGUAGCAGCAAUGUGGGAUCUGAUCCGAGCUGCAUCUGCAACCUACACUGAAGCUCACAGUAACACCAGAUCCUUAACCUACUGAGCGAGGCCAGGGAUCGAACCCCCAUCCUCACAGAGACAACAUUGGGUCCCUAACUCACUGAGCCGCAACGGGAACUACGCUUUCUUUCUUUUUUGUGUUUUUUGGCUGCGCCUGUCGUAUGUGGAAGUUCUUGGGUUGGGGAUUGAACCCAUGCCACAGCAGCCACCUAGGCUGCUGCAGUGACACCACUGGAUCCUUAGCUGCCUGCUCUGUGGUGCUUUGUUAAGAGAGACAGAGAUGGCACAUUAUUUUUUUUUUAAUUUUUAUAAUGAUUUUUAUUUUUCCCAUUAUAGCCGGUUUACAGUGUUCUGUCAGUUUUCUCCUGUGCAGCGAGGUGACCCAAUCACACAUACCUGUAUACAUUCUUGUUCUCACAUGAUCAUGCUCCGUCACAAGGGACUAGAUGCCGUUCCCAGUGCUGUACGGCAGGCCCUCAUUGCUUGUCCACUCCAAAGGCAGUCGUUUGCAUCUGUCAACCCCAGACUCCCAGUCCCUCCCGCUCCGAGUUUCUUCUCCAUGUCCAUGAUUUUCUUUUCUCUGGAAAGCGUCAUUUGGGUGGCACAUUAUUUGGAAGCAGACCCUAGAGGUCAGGCCGAUGUGACAAGGUCCUGUGCCGGGACCAUCUCAGUGGGACUAGAGCUCAGUCUAGUUCUGAGGAACGGGUCUCCACUGUUGCCCCAGACACGGACAGGCUACUCCGAGGGGCGAGGGGUGGGACCACGUGCCCGUGCUCUGCUGGGGCCGCAUGCUGCACGCGCACCGCCGGCGCGUGGCCUCUGGGCUGAGCCACAUUUGCACCGCCUCAUGUCACUGUCCUGACCCACGGCCUUUGUGGACACUUUCCUCUACUCCCUUUGCCCUUACCCCUCAGUCCAAGGACGGUGGCUCUUCUUCAGACGUGGCGCUCCGCUGUAAUGGUUACUCCAUUGCAAGGGUGUUGAGGUUCGGUUUUGUCAGUUUCAUAGAUUUUUUCCUUAGUUCUGUGCCAGUGCCAAAAAUGUUGCUGUUUUUCCUCCUAAGUGGAGCUCAGUAGUAGCAGUUUCCUGCUGGAUUGUGUUAAGAAUUAGAGCGUUUGAUCGCGGGUAUUAGACGUGUGUGGUGCAAUGAGAAUAAUCCUCUUUAGUGAGGGCAGCAGGAAGUUGGAAUUUGGGCUUUUGUUUGAGGCUUAGGACGGAGUUCCUGUCGUGGCGCAGCAGAAAUGAAUCUGACUAGGAACCAUGAGGUUGCAGGUUCGAUCCCUGACCUCGCUCGGUGAGUUAAGGAUCCAGGGUUGCCAUGAGCUGCUGCAGGGUAGGUCGCGGACGCGGCUCCCAUCUGGCGUUGCUGUGGCUGUGGUGGAGGCCGGCAGCUGCAGCUCUGAUUGGACCCCUAGCUUGGGAACCUCCACAUGCCAUGGGUGCGGCUCUAAAAAAGCAAAAAAAAAGGAUUCUGAACGUGAGAAAAGUGGUCAUUCUCCGUCUGUUGUAUUACUGCUGUUCUUCAGGAAAACCUAAGCUGUUACUUCUGACUCUGAGAAGAGAGAAGCUUGAAUCUUUUUUUUUUUAUAAAUCUACUCUGUAGUUUGAAAUGACAUGCAGUUUCUCCCCGCCCCAUCAGAUUCGCUUCUGUGUGUUGUUACCAUUAGCUCUCCAGUCAGGUGUGGUUUGGAAUAUACUCCCUUGCAGUUCACGUGGUGGCCUGUGAGUACGGUUUUAUUAAUUCAAUCCCUCGGACAGACCUACGUCUUAGGUACGUUAUCCUGCCUGUCACGUGUCACGAAGUGUUCUGCAUUUGAUUGUGUCUAAAUAUUUUAAAAUUAUCAUUAUUUAUUAUUAUUUGGCCUCACCCAUGGCACACAGAAGUUCCUGGGCCGGGAAUUGAACCCGAGCGAUAGCAGCAACCAGAGCCAUAGCACUGACAAGCCAGACCCUUAAUCCGCUGAGCCAUGAGGGAACUCCUAAAUGUUUUAUUAUUGCUGAUAGAUGUGUCACUCUAAAUAGCUCUUAUGAUUUAUUUAUUUAUUUAUUUUUGUCUUUUUAGGGCUGUACCCACAGCAUAUGGAGGUUCCCAGGCUAGGGGUCUAAUCGGAGCUGUAGCUACUGGCCUAUGUCAUAGCUGCAGCAAUGCCAGAUUUGAGCCGCAUCUUGGACCUGCACCACAGCUCAUGGCAACGCCAGAUCCUUAACCCAUUGAGUGAGGCGAGGGAUCGAACCCGCAACCUCAUGGUUCCUAGUUGGAUUCGUUUCCACUGUGCCAUGACGGGAACUCCAACCCAUUUUAUUUUUCUGAUGUAUUUUAAAGUAAAUUGUAGGCAUGUGUUCACUUUAAUCUGGACACUUCAGCAGGCAUAUUAUUAACUAGAAUGCACUAUUUGUUUACAGUUUUCUUUUGCUAUGAAAUUCAUAUAUGGUGAAAUAUGCACACCUUAAAUGUACAUUAAUUAAUUUUUGACAAAAGCAUACACCUGUGUAACCCAAACCCUGCCAAGAAAUAGACAGUUAUCAUCAAUCAGAAAGUUCCCUUAUACCUCUCAGCAAAUCCCUUUCCUGGCCAGGGAUUGAAUCUGAGAUGCAGCUGUGACCUGCACCACAGCUGCAGCAAAGCCAGAUCCUUUAACCCCCUCUGCAGGCCUGGGGAUGGGACUUGUAUCUCCUCCGCAGCCUGAGCUGCUGCAGUCGGAUUCUUAAUCCACUGCGCCACAUAGUUCCCUGGGAACUAUGUAUUUAAAAAUUUUUUUAAAUGAUUUCUAUUUUUUCCAUUAUAGUUGGUUUACAGUGUUCUGUCCAUUUUCUACUGUAUAGCAGGGUGACCCAGUCACACAUACAUAUAUACAUUCUUUUUCUCACAUUAUCAUGCUCCAUCAUAAGUGACUAGAUAUAGUUCCCAGUGCAUGUAUUUUAAUUGUAUAAAACACUUCCAGGAGUUCCCUUCGUGGCUCAGUGGUCAAUGAAUCUGACUAGGAACCAGGAGGUUGCUGGUUCGGUCCCUGCCCUUGCUCAGUGGGUUAAGGAUGUGGCGUUGCUGUGAGCUGUGGUGUAGGUUGCAGAUGCGGCUGGGAUCCCGUGUUGCUGUGGCUCUGGCGUAGGCUGAUGGCUACAGCUCCAAUUUGACCCCUGGCCUGGGAACCUCCAUAUGCCGCGAGAAGCAGCCCUAGAAAUGGCAAAAAGACAAAAAAACAGCAACAACAACAACAACAACAAAAAACACUUCCAAAGUGUUCCCUACUGAAUUUUUUGUCUGCUAAUUCUGUCAGUUAUUGACAGGGGGGUGUUAAAAUCUCCAGUUAUUGUUUUAGCUUUGUUUGUUUCUGCCUGUAGUUCUGUCUGCUUUGCUUGUGUGUAUUUUCGAAUCUCUGUUUUUAAAUACAUACACAGUCAGGGUUAUCGUAUCUUUAAAUGGCUCUUUUGCACUAUGAAAUGACCAUCUUUAUGUCUGGCAGUAAUCUUUGUUUUGAAAUCUACUCUGUCUGAUAUUAAUAUAGCCACAGGGAACCCCAUCACACCGGCUCUCUGCAGACGCUGCAUGUUUGCUUGGCAUGUAUUUCAGCAUGUCUGUAAUUUGUAUUUAAACUGUGUGUGGGAGUUCCCCCCGUGACGCAGCGGAGACGAAUCUGUCUAGGAACCAUGAGUUUUCGGGUUUGAUCCCUGGCCUUGCUCAGUGGGUUAAGGAUCUGGAGUUUCGGUGAGCUGUGGUGUAGGUCACAAAUGCGGCUUGGAUCCGGUGUUGCUGUGGAUGGGGUGUAGGCCGGCAGCAACAGCUCCAAUUUGACCCCUAGCCUGGGAACCUGCAUAUGCCGC
rnacentral:lncRNA from 1 species